rnacentral:lncRNA from 1 species
ACUACUAUCAGUGAGUUUUAUACUUUCUGAUGAUUUAUUACUGCUAAUUAAUGUUCUUUUCUUUCAGACUGAAGAACUCUCUUUAGCAUUUCUUGUAGGACAAGUCUGGUGUUGAUGAAACUUCUCAGGAGUCUCCCCCAUAGCCACUGCAACUUCAAAUGUGCUGGAGCCAGCACAGUACUAGACCUCACCCAAGGUCCAUGAACCCAAAGAUUGGAUCUUCUGAGAACAUCAGAGAAAGACUGUCUUUGCCAUCCACAGUGCAACAAAACUUCAGGAUCUUGAACCUUGGGUUCAUAAUCUCAUAACUGAGAGGGGUCUCUCCACACUCUUGGAGCUGUGCAUAUAGUGGAAUCCUAAAAGAAAAGCCAACUAAGGAAGUCUCUCCAACGAUAAUGGUAUCCUGUAUGUGAACAACUUUUCCUAAGACUUGAUCAAGACUUCUACUGUCAUCUGAAUCUUAUCUUUGAAUGUAUUUUCCUUGUGUCUGUCUCUAUGAACAAUAGAAAUAAAAGAGGGUCUGAUGUGUGCACUUAUGGAGUAUACUUCUAUUUGUGAAGGAUUUUGAAGCCAGCAUUUUACAUGGAAGAACUUACACUUCGAACGAUACAAGAUGAAGUCCCAAUGUAUGUGAGAAAAUUUAAUGGUACAUAUGUUGCUCAUAAUCCAUCAGAAACAGAACACUGAUUCACUCCUCUUAACCCACAUCAUGGGUUAAAGAGAACAUUGCCAGGAAGCCUUCACUAUUCUAGAAGGGCAUCAUUCGUUAGGUCCUUUUUCCAUGGAUUGGAAUAAAGGAGGCAAUAAUUAGAAAUGUAUCCCUCAUCAUAGGCCCUAUAGCAGAUUCUACUGUAAAGGCUAUAGUCAUAAAAUGGAUUUUAAAUUAUCUUGUGAAAGUUAGGUUAAAUAUUACAAUUGGCUAAACAGAAAAAUAUCUGUGCAGCUGCUGGUACUUGUGGCCUAUGGAAAAAUACAUCAAAUGUAGAUUAUAAAAAUUCAGUUGUAGGGUAUUAAUGAAAAGACCACUUAGUUAAGCAAGUGCACUCUUCAUCUAACUCAUUCUUUGAUGUAUUUGAUUUUAAGUGGUUUGGUUUGUGGAGACCUUGGGUAAGGAGCAUGCUCCGAACUCUUCAUAUUCUCUUCCUGAUAGUGAUAAUAAUAGUCUUCCUGGUAUGCUGUAUUAUCUCAAAGGUUUUAAAUAUUUGCAUGCAGCCAUCUCUAGAAUGUCAACUGGUCUCUAUCCAACUGGAAUGACAAGAGCUGAAGGAAAUGUGAGACCAUGAGGACACCAUAACCUAUGAAUGGCAUGCUGAGACUGGAAACACAAAAUGAUGGUAACUGAGAGUGGUGAGAAGGCCGUAAGUUUUGAUCACUCUCACCUAAAUAAGAACCUGACCAAAAAGGGGGAAUUUGUAAACAAAAUUAUAGGAGGCCAUUUUUGUGGAGUGAGCUCAUGUACUAGGCCCCAACAAACAAACCAAACAAAAAUGGAGAUGCUCAUUCUAAAUGUGACAUAAUCAAACUAAGACUUUAAGGAAACACAUAGGUCCUAGACUAGAAUAGAUUAUGUUUUGUUUUUCUUUUAUAAACAGGAUGUUCCAGCAUAAAGAGGUACCCUCUACUCUGUCCUUGUUCCUACCUUUGUAAAACUCACCGUUCUACUGUUUCCCAGUGGGUUUCAAGACCAAAUAAGUACAUUUACAAUGAUGAUCAUGACAUCAACGACUAAAGUUAUGGUCAAUCUGGCAAAAUUCAGAAAAUGACCAAAAAGGGGGAAAUGUUAAAGCAAACUAAAUAUGGCUUGAGAAGGACUCUGUACUUUUACAUUUGAGUCCUUGUAGAUGAACUGAAGCCAAACUUAAUAGAUAGACAAGUUUGAAACCCUAACUUAGGAGUAUGUGCCUGUAACAAUAGCUGAGACUUAGCCAAUCCCAGAAGCCAUACUUCAACCAGUCAUACACUGCUGAGUGUUCAAACUGUGUUCAAAUAAGGUAAAUGCCAACCUGUAACCAAUCCAGCUGUUUCUGUACCUCAUCUCUUAUUUCUGUACAUCACGUCCCUCUUUUUGUCUGUAAAUUUGUUCUGACCACUAGGCAUCCCUGGAGUCUCUCUGAAUCUGCUGUGAUUCUGGGGACUUCCAAGUUAUUGAAUCUUAC